CCCUUAGACGUUCUGGGCCGCACGCGCGCUACACUGACCAGUGCAACAAGCAUCCGUCCUUGGCCGACAGGCUCGGGCAAUCUUUGAACGCUGGUCGUGAUGGGGAUAGACUUUUGCAAUUUUUGGUCUUCAACGAGGAAUUCCUAGUAAACGCAAGUCAUCAACUUGCAUUGAUUACGUCCCUGCCCUUUGUACACACCGCCCGUCGCACCUACCGAUUGAAUGGUCCGGUGAAGCCUCCGGAUUGGCGCGCACCUCGGUGCCGCCGUGAAGUUGGCUAAACCUUACCAUUUAGAGGAAGGUGAAGUCGUAACA
rnacentral:rRNA from 1 species